CCUACGGGAGGCAGCAGUGGGGAAUAUUGCACAAUGGGGGAAACCCUGAUGCAGCGACGCCGCGUGAGUGAAGAAGUAUUUCGGUACGUAAAGCUCUAUCAGCAGGGAAGAAAAUGACGGUACCUGACUAAGAAGCCCGGGCUAACUACGUGCCAGCAGCCGCGGUAAUACGUAGGGGGCAAGCGUUAUCCGGAUUUACUGGGUGUAAAGGGAGCGUAGACGGCAGCGCAAGUCUGGAGUGAAAUCCCAUGGCUUAACCAUGGAACUGCUUUGGAAACUGUGCAGCUAGAGUGCAGGAGAGGUAAGCGGAAUUCCUAGUGUAGCGGUGAAAUGCGUAGAUAUUAGGAGGAACACCAGUGGCGAAGGCGGCUUACUGGACUGUAACUGACGUUGAGGCUCGAAAGCGUGGGGAGCAAACAGGAUUAGAUACCCCAGUAGUC
rnacentral:rRNA from 1 species